GGCGGCAGGCUUAACACAUGCAAGUCGAGCGGAAACGAUACCAGCUUGCUGGUAGGCGUCGAGCGGCGGACGGGUGAGUAACACUUAGGAAUCUACCUAGUAGUGGGGGAUAGCUCGGGGAAACUCGAAUUAAUACCGCAUACGACCUACGGGAGAAAGGGGGCAACUUGUUGCUCUCGCUAUUAGAUGAGCCUAAGUCGGAUUAGCUAGUUGGUGGGGUAAAGGCCUACCAAGGCGACGAUCUGUAGCUGGUCUGAGAGGAUGAUCAGCCACACCGGGACUGAGACACGGCCCGGACUCCUACGGGAGGCAGCAGUGGGGAAUAUUGGACAAUGGGGGCAACCCUGAUCCAGCCAUGCCGCGUGUGUGAAGAAGGCCUUUUGGUUGUAAAGCACUUUAAGCAGUGAAGAAGACCUAACGGUUAAUACCCGUUAGCGAUGACGUUAGCUGCAGAAUAAGCACCGGCUAACUCUGUGCCAGCAGCCGCGGUAAUACAGAGGGUGCAAGCGUUAAUCGGAAUUACUGGGCGUAAAGCGAGCGUAGGUGGCUUGAUAAGUCAGAUGUGAAAUCCCCGGGCUUAACCUGGGAACUGCAUCUGAUACUGUUAGGCUAGAAUAGGUGAGAGGAAGGUAGAAUUCCAGGUGUAGCGGUGAAAUGCGUAGAGAUCUGGAGGAAUACCGAUGGCGAAGGCAGCCUUCUGGCAUCAUAUUGACGCUGAGGUUCGAAAGCGUGGGUAGCAAACAGGAUUAGAUACCCUGGUAGUCCACGCCGUAAACGAUGUCUACUAGUCGUUGGGUCCCUUGAGGACUUAGUGACGCAGCUAACGCAAUAAGUAGACCGCCUGGGGAGUGCGGCCGCAAGGUUAAAACUCAAAUGAAUUGACGGGGGCCCGCACAAGCGGUGGAGCAUGUGGUUUAAUUCGAUGCAACGCGAAGAACCUUACCUGGUCUUGACAUAU
rnacentral:rRNA from 1 species